GGGCUAGUGGCACAAUGGAUAAAGCAUCUGACUAUGGAUCAGAGGACUCCAGGUUCAACUCCUGGCUGGCUCA
rnacentral:tRNA from 2 species